CGGGAUGGUGAGAAACACAACCUGUGUGAUGGAGGGGCUCUGGAAGAACCUUGAACUUCUCCAACAAAAGCACUCGGCAGUGGUUUCUGUGCUCAUCUCUGCGGGCCAACGAGUCCGCUUCUCCUGCUCAACGUCUUCAGCUCCCACCGUUCUCAAAUGCAGCCCUGCAGGCAGCGAGCAGCGGCUUGUGACGGCCUACAAGUUUCCCGUCAUUGAAAAGUAGCACAUUCCUGUGACGUGAUUUGUUGAUUAAUUACACAGGCUAUUGACCAGCGCUGGUACUGACAGCCUCCAGGAGCCCCGGGGAAGCCAGGCCUGUGCUUGAGCCUGAUCGCAGGUGGGCAGCGGCCAACCUCACGCCCCAGGAGAAUGGCCUCCCUGGCCUGCUGCAGCCUGCCAGCCAAGUGUCUGCAAGAUUUAAUACCGAAGAGGUCACGGGUGACCUUGACAAGCAAGCUCACCACAAGGGAUUCUUGACUGUUCUGUGACAAACUGCCACAACAAAGCUACACACCAGUUGUGUUUCCAUUUUUAGCUUCUUUAUUACCUCCAUCUGUUGAUGGAGACGCAGUAGAAAACACACUGUGUGAGCUGCGGCUUCUCCUGUAUUGUAUAAAUAAGGGCAGCCAGACUCCCCCGGUCUCCCACUUGCAGGGGGGCUGAUGCUUCCUAAGUGGUUCCCCCCUUCUGGCCGUGCAUCCAGCUCUUCCCCUCAGACUCUUCUCCCUUCUCCUCCACCUCAAUAACACUCGUGGCAGUUCACACUCCAUUUCACACAAACAACUUUCUAACACUUCCCUGCUGUACUGUGAUGGCUGGAGGGUAGCUGCAGACCUUGGCAAUGCUGCUUUAUUUCCAUCAGCGGUGGCCUCUUCCCCAGCCCUCCCACCACCGCCACCCACCUCGAGCCUUGUGUCAUGGAACGGUGAGCAGGAGGGACCAUCACUCCCUUCCGAUCAUUUAUUAACAUAGGAAUGGAGAUGGUGGACUCAUGUCUAGAACCCCCUUCUCAGUAUAGAUGAAAGA